GACCGUGCAAAGGUAGCAUAAUCAUUUGCCUUAUAAUUGAAGGCUAGUAUGAAUGGUUUGACGAGAAUUAAGCUGUCUCUCUCCAAAUAAAUAUAACUUUAUUUAUAGGUGAAGAAGCCUAUAUUUAAUUGAAAGACAAGAAGACCCUAUCGAGCUUUAAAAGAUUUAAUAGAUUUAUUAUAUAUUUAUUAAAAAACUAAAACUAUUAAAAAUUUUGGUUGGGGCGACUAAGGAACAAACAAAGCUUCCUUUAUCUUUAAUAAGACUUACAGGUAUUGAUCCAAUAAAUUUGAUUAAAGGAAUUAGUUACCGUAGGGAUAACAGCAUAAUCUCCUUUGAGAGCUCCCAUCGAAAAGGAGGUUUGUGACCUCGAUGUUGGACCAGAAUACCCAGAAGAUGUAGCCGUCUUCAAUGGUUGGUCUGUUCGACCAUUAAAAUUCUACGUGAUCUGAGUUCAGACCGGCGUGAGCCAGGUCAGUUUCUAUCUUCAAUUCCCAUAAUGGCUUUAGUACGAAAGGACCAGGCUAUUACAAGAUAACUUGUAUUUUAUUGAAUAAAUAUAAAAAAUUCUUAAGUAAAUAAGACAAUCAAAUUAGCAAAGAUUAAUGCAAUUGACUUAGGAUCAAUAGACAUAGGUGGAAUUCCUUUAUUUGAUAUAUAGAGGUGGCAGAAAAA
rnacentral:rRNA from 1 species